rnacentral:pre_miRNA from 1 species
UCUUAUGGAUGAUCAAAGAAAGUGGUUUCUUGAGAUAGAAUCUACUCCUGUAGAAGGUGCUGUGAA